UCUAUUUAUUUAUUUAUUUUUUUUUAUUUUUUUUCCGCAAGGAAAAUGUAAUUAGUUUUCUUUUUUCCCGGUGCUUGGAUAAUUAAAUACAUACUCUGCUUCUGCUUGCGCUUCCGUUCUAGGGUUCUUCACAGCUUCUUCACAGCUUCUUCACGCACCUUUGAACCGUAGAAAUGGGUGACAAGAAAAAGAAAGCUACGAUGUUCAUCCGACUUGUAUCAGCUGCUGGGACUGGAUUCUUCUACGUCAAACGAAAGCCAACCAAAAUAACAGAGAAGCUCGAGUUCCGAAAAUACGAUCCUCGGGUCAAUCGACAUGUCUUGUUUACAGAAGCGAAAAUGAAGUGAAAGGAGGGAGGAAGAAAAGACCAUCCUUUUAACUUGGACCUAUUCUUCUUCCAAAUUUGUAGACUCAUGUUUCACAUUGCUAGUCUCUCCCGUGGCUCAUCAAUGCAUUGUUUUUGUGCAUCAAAUUCUAUGGCUACGAAUUGUUUGCCCCUUGAUAUCUUCUAGUCAGUUCUCUCUACUCAUCUAUCAAGCUUGUACCAACUUAGACUUUUGACUCUUAAAUGGUUAAUAAAUUCCGAGGUCCGAGGUUCUUGUC